rnacentral:rRNA from 1 species
AGAAUCAACGCUGGCGGCGUGCCUAACACAUGCAAGUCGAACGAGAAAGUGGAGCAAUCCAUGAGUAAAGUGGCGCACGGGCGAGUAACACGUGACUAACCUACCCUUGAGGGGGGGAUAACCUAGAGAAAUCUGGGCUAAUACCGCAUAAUACCUUCGGGUCAAAGGAGCAAUUCGCUUAAGGAGGGGGUCGCGGCCGAUUAGUUAGUUGGCGGGGUAAUGGCCCACCAAGACUGUGAUCGGUA